rnacentral:rRNA from 1 species
GGGGAAUUUUGGACAAUGGGGGCAACCCUGAUCCAGCCAUCCCGCGUGUGCGAUGAAGGCCUUCGGGUUGUAAAGCACUUUUGGCAGGGAAGAAACAGCCUGGGCUAAUAUCCCGGGCGACUGACGGUACCUGCAGAAUAAGCACCGGCUAACUACGUGCCAGCAGCCGCGGUAAUACGUAGGGUGCAAGCGUUAAUCGGAAUUACUGGGCGUAAAGCGUGCGCAGGCGGUUCGGAAAGAAAGGUGUGAAAUACCAGGGCUUAACCUUGGAACUGCACUUUUAACUACCGGGCUAGAGUACGUCAGAGGGUGGUAGAAUUCCACGUGUAGCAGUGGAAUGCGUAGAGAUGGGGAGGAAUACCGAUGGCGAAGGCAGCCCCCUGGGAUGAUACUGACGCUCAUGCACGAAAGCGUGGGGAGCAAACA